rnacentral:rRNA from 1 species
UUUCCCUUCGGGGACAGAGUGACAGGUGGUGCAUGGUUGUCGUCAGCUCGUGUCGUGAGAUGUUGGGUUAAGUCCCGCAACGAGCGCAACCCUUGAUCUUAGUUGCCAGCAUUCAGUUGGGCACUAUAAGGUGACUGCCGGUGACAAACCGGAGGAAGGUGGGGAUGACGUCAAAUCAUCAUGCCCCUUAUGACCUGGGCUACACACGUGAUACAAUGGACAGAACAAAGGGCUGCAAGACCGCAAGGUUUAGCCAAUCCCAUAAAUCUGUUCUCAGUUCGGAUCGCAGUCUGCAACUCGACUGCGUGAAGCUGGAAUCGCUAGUAAUCGCGGAUCAGCAUGCCGCGGUGAAUACGUUCCCGGGCCUUGUACACACCGCCCGUCACACCACGAGAGUUUGCAACACCCGAAGUCGGUGAGGUAAC